rnacentral:tRNA from 1 species
GUGGGCCGUAGCGCAGAGGUCGUCGCGCGACCUUGCAAGGGUCGAGGACACCGGUUCGAAUCCGGUCGGCCCACACC